rnacentral:rRNA from 1 species
UGCCAGCAGCCGCGGUAAUACGGAGGGGGUUAGCGUUGUUCGGAAUUACUGGGCGUAAAGCGCGCGUAGGCGGGCUGGUCAGUUGGGGGUGAAAUCCCGGGGCUUAACCCCGGAACUGCCCUCAAAACUGUCGAUCUAGAGACCGGGAGAGGUAAGCGGAAUUCCUAGUGUAGAGGUGAAAUUCGUAGAUAUUAGGAAGAACACCAGUGGCGAAGGCGGCUCACUGGCUCGGUACUGACGCUGAGGUGCGAAAGCGUGGGGAGCAAACAGGAUUAGAUA